rnacentral:rRNA from 1 species
GACGAACGCUGGCGGCGUGCUUAACACAUGCAAGUCGAACGGUGAAGCGCCUUCUUUUUUGUUGGGUGUGGAUGAGUGGCGAACGAGUGAGUAACACAUCUGUACCCUGCUCUCUUCUUCUGGUUAACCGCUUGAACUAGUGGCUAAUACGGGCUAUUCUUGGUCUGUCUGAUGAUGGGUCUGGGAUAGAUAUUGUUUCGGUUCGCGGUGUGCUCGCGUCCUAUCAGCUUGUUGGCGGGGUGAUGGCCUACCAAGGCGGUGACGUGUAGCCGGCCUGAGCGGGUGGACGGUCACACGGGGGCUGAGACACGGCGCAGACUGAUACGGGAGGCAGCAGUGGGGAAUAUUGCACAAUGGGCGCAAGCCUGAUGCAGCGACGCCGCGUGAGGGAUGGAGGCCUUCGGGUUGUGAACCUCUUUCGCGAGUGAAGCAGGCCGGCAUCGUGUGUGGGUGGGUUGACGGUAGCUGGAGAAGAAGCGCCGGCUAACUACGUG